UACGGGGGGGGCAAGCGUUGUCCGGAAUUAUUGGGCGUAAAGAGCUCGUAGGCGGUCUGUCGCGUCUGCUGUGAAAACUCGGGGCUUAACCCCGGACUUGCAGUGGGUACGGGCAGACUAGAGUGUGGUAGGGGAGACUGGAAUUCCUGGUGUAGCGGUGAAAUGCGCAGAUAUCAGGAGGAACACCGAUGGCGAAGGCAGGUCUCUGGGCCACUACUGACGCUGAGAAGCGAAAGCAUGGGGAGCGAACAGG
rnacentral:rRNA from 1 species